rfam:Ictidomys tridecemlineatus contig065186, whole genome shotgun sequence.
GGAGGUAUAGCUCAGUUGGUAGAGUGCUUGCCUUGCAUGCACAAGGCCCUGGGUUCAAUACCCAGCACCACCC